UACAGAGGUCCCAAGCGUUGUUCGGAUUCACUGGGCGUAAAGGGUGCGUAGGUGGCCGGGACAGUUCGGUGUGAAAGCUCCAAGCUCAACUUGGAAAUGUCAUCGAAAACUACUCGGCUCGAGGAUUGAAGGGGAGACUGGAAUUCUCGGUGUAGCAGUGAAAUGCGUAGAUAUCGAGAGGAACACCGGUGGCGAAGGCGAGUCUCUGGGCAAAUCCUGACACUGAGGCACGAAAGCUGGGGGAGCAAACAGG
rnacentral:rRNA from 1 species